rnacentral:rRNA from 1 species
UACGGGGGGGGGCAAGCGUUGUUCGGAAUUACUGGGCGUAAAGGGUUCGUAGGUGGCCAACUAAGUCAGACGUGAAAUCCCUCAGCUUAACUGGGGAACUGCGUCUGAGACUGGAUGGCUUGAGUGCAGGAGAGGAACGCGGAAUUCCAGGUGUAGCGGUGAAAUGCGUAGAUAUCUGGAGGAACACCGGUGGCGAAGGCGGCGUUCUGGACUGCUACUGACACUGAGGAACGAAAGCCAGGGGCAAACGGG